UGCAGUCGAACGAUGAAGCCCAGCUUGCUGGGUGGAUUAGUGGCGAACGGGUGAGUAACACGUGAGCAACCUGCCCCUGACUCUGGGAUAAGCGCUGGAAACGGCGUCUAAUACUGGAUACGAACAAGAAUCGCAUGGUUACUUGUUGGAAAGAUUUUUCGGUUGGGGAUGGGCUCGCGGCCUAUCAGCUUGUUGGUGAGGUAAUGGCUCACCAAGGCGUCGACGGGUAGCCGGCCUGAGAGGGUGACCGGCCACACUGGGACUGAGACACGGCCCAGACUCCUACGGGAGGCAGCAGUGGGGAAUAUUGCACAAUGGGCGCAAGCCUGAUGCAGCAACGCCGCGUGAGGGAUGACGGCCUUCGGGUUGUAAACCUCUUUUAGCAGGGAAGAAGCGAGAGUGACGGUACCUGCAGAAAAAGCACCGGCUAACUACGUGCCAGCAGCCGCGGUAAUACGUAGGGUGCAAGCGUUAUCCGGAAUUAUUGGGCGUAAAGAGCUCGUAGGCGGUUUGUCGCGUCUGCUGUGAAAUCUGGGGGCUCAACCCCCAGCCUGCAGUGGGUACGGGCAGACUAGAGUGCGGUAGGGGAGAUUGGAAUUCCUGGUGUAGCGGUGGAAUGCGCAGAUAUCAGGAGGAACACCGAUGGCGAAGGCAGAUCUCUGGGCCGUAACUGACGCUGAGGAGCGAAAGGGUGGGGAGCAAACAGGCUUAGAUACCCUGGUAGUCCACCCCGUAAACGUUGGGAACUAGUUGUGGGGUCCAUUCCACGGAUUCCGUGACGCAGCUAACGCAUUAAGUUCCCCGCCUGGGGAGUACGGCCGCAAGGCUAAAACUCAAAGGAAUUGACGGGGACCCGCACAAGCGGCGGAGCAUGCGGAUUAAUUCGAUGCAACGCGAAGAACCUUACCAAGGCUUGACAUAUACGAGAACGGGCCAGAAAUGGUCAACUCUUUGGACACUCGUAAACAGGUGGUGCAUGGUUGUCGUCAGCUCGUGUCGUGAGAUGUUGGGUUAAGUCCCGCAACGAGCGCAACCCUCGUUCUAUGUUGCCAGCACGUAAUGGUGGGAACUCAUGGGAUACUGCCGGGGUCAACUCGGAGGAAGGUGGGGAUGACGUCAAAUCAUCAUGCCCCUUAUGUCUUGGGCUUCACGCAUGCUACAAUGGCCGGUACAAUGGGCUGCAAUACCGUGAGGUGGAGCGAAUCCCAAAAAGCCGGUCCCAGUUCGGAUUGAGGUCUGCAACUCGACCUCAUGAAGUCGGAGUCGCUAGUAAUCGCAGAUCAG
rnacentral:rRNA from 1 species